rnacentral:misc_RNA from 1 species
GAUGAAGAACGUAGCGAACUGCGAUAAAUAAUGUGAAUUGCAGAAUUCAGUGAAUCAUCGAGUCUUUGAACGCACAUUGCGCCCCCUGGCAUUCCGGGGGGCAUGCCUGUCCGAGCGUCAUUGCUGCCCUUCAAGCCCGGCUUGUGUGUUGGGUCGUCGUCCCCCCCGGGGGACGGGCCCGAAAGGCAGCGGCGGCACCGCGUCCGGUCCUCGAGCGUAUGGGGCUUUGUCACCCGCUCGAUUAGGGCCGGCCGGGCGCCAGCCGGCGUCUCCAACCUUCUAUUUUACCAGGUUGACCUCGGAUCAGGUAGGGAUACCCGCUGAACUUAAGCAUAUCAAUAAGCGGAGGA